AACGAACGCUGGCGGCAUGCCUAACACAUGCAAGUCGAACGGGAUCCUGGUUUCGGCCAGGUGAGAGUGGCGGACGGGUGAGUAACGCGUGGGAACCUGCCCAGUGGUGGGGGAUAACUGCGGGAAACUGCAGCUAAUACCGCAUGAGCCCGCAAGGGGAAAGAUUGAUCGCCAUUGGAGGGGCCCGCGUUCGAUUAGGUAGUUGGUGAGGUAACGGCUCACCAAGCCUUCGAUCGAUAGCUGGUCUGAGAGGAUGAUCAGCCACACUGGGACUGAGAUACGGCCCAGACUCCUACGGGAGGCAGCAGUGGGGAAUAUUGGACAAUGGGCGAAAGCCUGAUCCAGCAAUGCCGCGUGUGUGAAGAAGGCCUGCGGGUUGUAAAGCAC
rnacentral:rRNA from 1 species